rnacentral:lncRNA from 1 species
GUUGUUGUUGUUGUUGUUGUUGUCGUUGUUGUCGCUGUUGUCGUUAAUGUCAUUGUUGUCAUUAUUGUUGUUAUCGUUCUUGUUGUUGUUCUCGUCAUUGUUGUUAUUGUCGUCGUCAUAGUCGUAGUCGUCAUCGUCGUCGUAGUCGUCUCGUCAUCGUCGUCGUCGUCAUCGUCGUCGUCGUCGUUGUUGUUGUUUG